UAGAUACACCUUCCGAGCGGGGCUGGGAAACCAAACCGAUCCAACCCGCCGUCAACCGUGGGAUCCUAUAACCAUUCCCCAAGAGAGCAGGAAAUAUACUUUACCACCGCACUGUCGCUAUCUACGGUCAGAUGAAGCUACAAAGAGACCUAAGAGGAGAAGAUAAAUAACACACCAAAAGACCGGGGGCAGCAGCACUCCAGCAAGACGGCAUCUUCUCCUCCCCAGCCCUAGAAGCCCUGUGAAACCGAGGACCUUCCCCCUAAAACACACACACACACAAGAUAUUGGCCAGCAAGCUUGCCUCCAUUUGGUAAAAAGCUCUAUACGGUGCAUAAUCCAAAAGGAUCAGGAGCAGAUCCUUGAAUCAGCUUGUCACUUCUUCUAGAAAAUGGGAUUUUUUUUUUGUUUCCUCCUUACACGGCGCUGGAAAAUGCCGAUGGCUUUACACAUCUCUAUAGAGGGAGGCUAAAGAGUCUUUCGUGAGAAUGAAGCAAUUUACAAUGCAAAUAGAGGCCUGUGAAGGGAUGGAUGCACCUUAAUAGCUGGUUUUAUUUUCUGAUUAUUAGAUGAAUUGUUGACUCUCGCUGCCGGAAAUUACUUGCUGAAAGAAAAAAAAAAGUUCGGGAUAAACUUUGAAGGCCACAGCUCUCUUUUUGGAUGUGUCUUAGCUGCACACAUACACACAGACAAAAACCAGGUCACAAUUGCAUAAGAGGAUGAAUCUUUUAAAGCACGGCGGCAACAACGGUUGGAGGAGACGGCAUUUCUGUGGAAAAGAACCUGGAGCCUGGAUUCUAGCGAGGAGAAGGAAAAAAAAAAGUCUGGUGAGGGAAGCGAGUUGUUAUCUUUGGUUAUCUAGCUGUAUGAGUGUAUUGGUCUUCAUAAAGCUAGAUAACCGAAAGUAAGAACUCCUUCAAGAUCAUCGUGGAGCGCGUCACAAUGAGAAGCCACUGCAAGAGACAGUAAAACCGGAAAGGUCAGGAAUGCUUUCUGUAUCUCUAAACAUUUUACGGCGAAGAAGGGCGUGGAGAAGAUGGUGACACACAUUUCCGAAUUAUGAAGUUAUCAGCUGUCUCAAGAGGAGUACUUAAAUGCUGCAAACAAGAAACAAUGCUGAGGGUAAACAAUGCAUGUGCAACCUUUGCUGUUCUGAUAAAAGUUCUUAGUUUAAGGGCUUAUGUAUUUUUUUUAGAAAGAUGUGUUUAGAGAUACGGAGUAUCUGUUGCAAAAUGACUCGAUGCAGUUAAAUGACUUUUUACCC